rnacentral:rRNA from 1 species
CGUGUGUGAAGAAGGCCUUUUGGUUGUAAAGCACUUUAAGCAGGGAAGAAAACUCUUCGGUUAAUACCCGGGGACGAUGACAUUACCUGCCCAAUAAGCCCCGG